CAUUUUCAAGAUUUCCUUAUCUGACAUAUCCCGAGCCAUCCUGACUGUAAGAGGAAAUCAAGACCAAAACAUUAAAAUUUCACAACAAAUGCCGACAACUGAUGAGGUCGACACAGGAUUGGACCUGAUGUCACCAAUCCCCCGUGAUGAGAUUAAACAAUAAGGAGCCGUAACCCCUGAACAGGAAGGAGGAAGGUUAGAGAUCCUUACAGAUCUGCAGAUGAGGUGGAGAAAGUGAGACACCGAAA